AAUAAUUCAUACUUCGGUCUUUGGAGGCAAAUUUGUCAGGCAAUUGAUCCACAUGUUCUCACAAGAACAAGACGAUUUUCAUCGAUAACAUAACAGAGAAAAAGCUCGGGUUUUACAAGCCUAGUGUCUUUCUAAUUCAAACGAAAUUAAUACAAAUGAACAAUUGAAGCUGGACUCAUCAUCACUAGGAAGGGGGCGAUUAAAGACGAGCGGAGCCCAUAUUAGCCGAAUCAAAGAUCUCACCAAGCCAGCUGGAUUCGAUGCAGGAGAGCCAGCUGGGGACAGAUCACUGUCUGAAACUGAGAGAUUUGGUGACGGUGAUUGAGGUAUGUGCUCAAUCUAAUUGACUAUUUACUUAAGCCCUAGAAAAAAAUUAUGAAUGUUUCAUGUUAACAAUGGAAUAUACUCUCUCAGUUCCAAAAUCUAAGUGAAGGAAGGACAUUUUUAAACUCAAAAGUAAUAUGAUAUGAAUUUGUUUAGCCUUCCGUAUUAAUACUAUUAAUUAUCUAAAAAUACAAGUGCCCGUUUCAUAAAAAGAGUCAUCUAUAAUAUUAGUGUCAUUUUAACCCUCAUUAUUAUAAUAUUAACCCUCAUUUAUAAUAUUAUGUCAUUUAGGAGCAUGUCUCACGGAAACUACAAGAUAAGCUUGUUGCAUUGUUAAACAACUGCAUUUACUGGUAUUCUACAAGAAUAGUCAAAAACCAAUUUCUUAUCUUACUUUGACAUUGUAUUUAAGAAUGUCGCUUAGCAAUUUAAACGUUGUGGAAAUAUCAUUCGGAAUUGAUUUUGCCUAGCAGUUAAAAAUACAUAUAAUUUUCAACUACCAACUGCUCUGGACCAUUCAAGCAG
rnacentral:lncRNA from 1 species